rnacentral:rRNA from 1 species
CCUACGGGAGGCAGCAGUGAGGAAUAUUGGUCAAUGGCCGGAAGGCUGAACCAGCCAAGCCGCGUGAAGGACGAAGGUGCCAAGCAUUGUAAACUUCUUUUGUCAAGGGACAAAAUCAGGCUCGAGAGCCUGACCGAGGGUACUUUACGAAAAAGCAUCGGCUAACUCCGUGCCAGCAGCCGCGGUAAUACGGAGGAUGCGAGCGUUAUCCGGAUUUAUUGGGUUUAAAGGGUGCGUAGGGGGACUGUUAAGUCAGCGGUAAAAGCCCGGGGCUCAACCCCGGCGAGCCGUUGAAACUGGCGGUCUGGAGUUGGCGAGAGGUAUGCGGAAUGCGCGGUGUAGCGGUGAAAUGCUUAGAGAUUGCGCAGAACUCCGAUUGCGAAGGCAGCAUACCGGAGGCGAUCUGACGCUGAGGCACGAAAGCGUGGGUAUCGAACAGGAUUAGAUACCCUAGUAGUC